CCGGAAGUUUGCUGAACCCGGAGAGAAGAAAAAGAACUCAUUCUGGAGAGUCCCAGCAGGUGGCGGAGCCCUUUCACGCAUGCUCUGCAGAGACCCCUGGAGUCCCCCUGUAAGCAGGGCAGGUUGAGGUGAUGGGAGAAGAGAGCUGUCAGCCCCACUUCUCUAGAUUUAACUGGAAAGAUGGUCUUUUAGUUGUUUUACACACUGGAUUCAGCAGCUAGUAAAAGCUUGAAAACCAGUUCGGCUGCAGAAGGAAACACGUGGGCAGGUGCCAGAGAGGCUGCCUGAAGACAAGUGUUCACCGAAUGCAGGGGCCCCACGUCAGAGCACUGCCCUGUGUCCAGCCCCCCGGGAGGGACCUGCUUAUUCUCACUCUUCCGCAGAACAAAUGGAAAAGAAGAUGGGACCCUUGUAAAGACCUGCAACCGGAGGAACAAGGCUGGUCCUGGGAGACUGACUGGGCUUGUUUUUACUUUAGAAAAGGAAGCAGGGCCAGGACUUAGCAGGGUGGCCCCAAAUGUCCCCAGACUGAGUGGGGAGGAAACAUUUUGAGCCACCCUCAAAAAGCGUGCUGUUAUUUCAACUCCCAAAAGCAAAAUUACGUUGUGGCCCACUGAGGAAUGAGGUCACCUGUUCACAGACCCACUUAUGGAGAACAUUCCUACAUAACAUUGCUUGGCUCCUUGGAGUUGAGAAUAAAGACACUGAGGCCCAGAAAGAUGGUCAGAGCUUUGCCAUGUGCUUGUAUCCAAGGUCACAGAGCUAGGUAGGAGCUGAAUGUGUGGUUGGUGGGAAGAACACUGUCUCUGGGGUCAGACAAGCCUAUGACUGAUCCAAAUGCUGCUGUGUGACCUUGGGCAAAUUCACUAACCUCUUGUUUUCUUAUCUGUAAAAUGGGAAUAAUAAUACCUACCUAGCAGGCUUAUUGUGAGAUUAAGUGAGAAAAUAUAUAUAAAAUGCCUGACACAAAAUGGUG